rnacentral:rRNA from 1 species
GUCCUUUUGAAUUUAAUUUAAGGUUUAACCUGCCCACUGAAAUUAUUUGAAGGGCCGCAGUAAUUUGACUGUGCAAAGGUAGCAUAAUCAUUAGUUUUUUAAUUAAAAGCUUGUAUGAAAGGUUGGACGAGGUAAAUUCUGUCUCUAUUUAAUUUAAAUUAGAAUUUAAUUUUUAAGUUAAAAAGCUUAAAUAUUUUUAAAAGACGAGAAGACCCUAUAGAUCUUUAUAUUAAGAAUAUUAAUUUUAAUUAAGAAUAUUUUAUUUUUUAAUGUUUAUAAUAUUUUAUUGGGGUAAUAAAAAGAUUAAAAUAAUUCUUUUUUUAUUUUUACAUUAAUUAAUGAUCUUAUGAUCCAAUUUUAUUGAUUAAAAGAUUAAGUUACCUUAGGGAUAACAGCGUAAUUUUUUUAGAGAGUUCAUAUCGAUAAAAAAGUUUGCGACCUCGAUGUUGGAUUAAAAAUUAUCUUAGGUGCAGAAUUUUAAGAUUUUGGUCUGUUCGACCAUUAAAUUUUUACAUGAUCUGAGUUCAGACCGGCGUAAGCCAGGUCGGUUUCUAUCUUUAAUAAAUUAUAAUAUUUUAGUACGAAAGGACCAAAUAUUAAAUAUAUAUAUAUUUAAUUAUUUUGAAUAU